UACAGAGGAGCCAAGCGUUGUCCGGAUUGACUGGGCGUAAAGCGCACGCAGGCGGAUGCGCGCGUGGGGUGUGAAAUCUGGCCGCUUAACGGCCAGGCGCCAUCCCAUACGGCGCGUCUGGAGUGAUGCAGAGGUCGAUGGAAUUGCCGGUGUAGUGGUGAAAUGCGUAGAGAUCGGCAGGAACACCAGUGGCGAAGGCGCUUCACUGGGCGAUUACUGACACUGAGGGACGAAAGCAAGGGGAGCAAACAGG
rnacentral:rRNA from 1 species